rnacentral:rRNA from 1 species
AUGGCGGACAGAGUGACGAAUCUGGCGUCGCAGCGGGCGGUGGUGAUCUUCGGAGCGAGCAACUGCUGCAUGUGCCACGUGGUGAACACACUCUUCACAGAGCUGGGCGUGAGCUGGACGGUGCACGAGCUGGACAAGGACCCCCGCGGGAAGGACGUCGAGAGGGUGCUCGUUGGCAUGGUCGGACGCAACCCGCCUGCGCCGGCCGUCUUCAUCGGCGGCAGACUUGUCGGCACCACCGACCAGGUCAUGAUGCUGCACGUUGGCGGCCAGCUCGUGCUGCUCCUCCGCCAGGCCGGCGCCCUCUGGCUCUGA